rnacentral:lncRNA from 1 species
ACAACUUGCAUCUUUCUUAACACCAAAGUUUGGGUUUGGUAGCGGACAGAGUUCUUUGAUCUCUGGAAAGUUAGGUCCUGACCCAACCUUCCUUAGAGGAGGAGGAAAAGGAAGUAGGCUGGGUUGACUGAAAAGUUUUUCUUUCUAGCUAAAAAGACAGAGCCCGAUGAAGGGAAAGACUUGCCUUGUUUCUCCCUUCUGGUCUUGAGCGGCAGACGCUAGAGCAGCGGUUCUCAAGUUUGGCCAACACUGGAAUCACCUGAGGAACGUGGUGACCCUAUAAAAGGCCUGGGCUGUGUUCUUCAAGGAGCCUGGGCUGUGCUUUCCGCUCUCCAGCUGAUUCCAAUACACACCAAAGUUUGAGAACCACAGUCAAAGCUGCAGCAGCCACCCUGUGUCUGAAGGAAAUUCAGAGACACUGGUCACCAGAUGAGACGCUGAAGCAAUCCUAGCAGUCACUUACCUUCAGGCUGCUUGCUAUGUGCAAAGAAAAAAAAAAAGCUACUUAAGAUAUUUUAAGUAAUUGUGGCUGAAAGCGUUGUCGGUUGAUACACAGCCAAAUCAAAAGAGGAAUCACAACCAAUUAUAAUGUCCCCAAUGCCCAUAGAAUCAAAAUGUUCCAGUUGCUCAGAAGAAAUUCAACUUAGGCCCCGAGGCCAAAGAAAAAUUACUCCCCUAGGCCUGCAUGAAGGAGACACUGCUUGCUGUGUUAUCUUCUCAGGCUGUACACUCACCCACCCUGACAGCCUCCAAACUGUAUUGAAACCGUGCUGCCUUUUAAGAAGAGCAAUAGUCUCCUUUGAGGUCAGAACUUCGAAGUACUGCUCGAUAGUCAGAACUGGUCAUGGGAAGUCAACAGAGAGCAGCCCUGAAUGGAGCAACGUUGGGCCCGGCAAUGCAGGUGCAGAGUGUCUAGUGAAGCCUGGGGUCUCCUACAUGACUGUUUAACUUGCCCAUCUCCUUGUCCGGAAGCCCCCAGUCCUAUCACUGGAGCUACUUAGCUUGGACCAGCUAAUUCUUACCAGACAGAGCUGAAGGAGCCUGGACCAGUGAAUCACUAUAAAAUUUGACUUGUUGGAAAUUCUGCUAUGUCCUUGAACCUCAGCUCUCUAACUGAGCUCUGGCCUUUUCUCUUCGCUCCUUAGUCCAUAUCCUCAUAUUUUGAACUCCAAACCAAUUCCAUUCAAAUGUCUGUACUAUCUUUCUCUCUUCAGUUCUCCUGGGUUCUAGUCUUGGCCCUGAAAAUGUGUGACCCAGUUGCUUUGAUGUCUAUCUGUCCUAUGACUGGAGCCUCCCAGGCUUCCCAGCUAAGCCUUUCUUGACUCUGGGCUUACCGACCAAGACGUCCCCUCUUCCCUCCUAGACGGAAGAAUGGCUACAGCUCAUUGAGAGCUGUAGGCCAAGACCUCUGCGAAGAACUUUGGAAGGGAGAUAUUGUCAUUGUUAUUUUAUAUCUGAGGAAACUGAGGCUUGGAGACCAAUGUUUGCAUAUGACAAUGGCUUGUUGGAUGAAUAUAACUCAAGGAGUCCUGGAGUUUUAUGAUAUUUCUAAACCAGCCAAGCACAAUGCAAGAUAAAUCAUUAAACAUGAAAUCCAGAAUUUAGAUCCUUCAAUCAAAGUGAAGUCAUUCUUUCUAUUAGUCACACAAAAUUGCUAGUCAGAAUUAAAGAAACCUUUGGGUUAUCAUAGAAUAGUCAUCCAAUCUCAAUGGCCUUGAAUUAUUGCUAAAGAAGGAAUAGUCAACAAAGCUCAAGAACUCCUAGCACUAACUCAAUAAUGUUAAAACUGUCUUUAUAGAGAACUCUAAAGGCAUUUAAUUAUUUUCUAUUUGAAAUAGCGUUUCAUUUUGACUGAGUUGCAAUCAUAUUUAAGACCAAUGAAUUAGCUUUAGUUAUUCUGUGUUCUCAUGAUGCAUUCAAUUUAUUCAUUUAUUUACUAUACAUUUAUGGAAUGCCUGCAAUGUGCCCUGAAAUGUGUGAGGGCUGGAUAUGUGACAGUGAGGAAAAUAGACGUGAUGAUAACCCUCUUGGCACUUAAAUCUAGUAGAAGAGAGAGACAAGACAGAAAAUAAUUUUAGAUAAUAAAAAAAUAUUAUUAAAAAAUAAACAAGGCAUUUUCACAGAGAUAAUGGGUUGGAAGUAUUGUUACUUUAGAUACGAUUAUCAAGAGAGGCAUCUCCAAGGAGGAGACAUCUAAACUGAGACCAGAAAAAUGGGAAAUAUCCCAUCAUGCCAUGUGAAA